rnacentral:sRNA from 1 species
UUUGUAAACACCGGUCGUGCUGGUUGAUAACGAACGAAACGAAGCGUUACCAAAGCGUUGUGCGUUGCCAAGUCAUUGUAUCGAAUGGUGUUUUUUUUUUUCAAUUUGGCUUGUUAUUAUCACUGCUCCGCAGUUAACGAAAUUCAGUGAAUAAGAAACAUAUAAAAAAAUAAUAAUAACGUGCGCGUGAUAUAGCGACAGCAACAAAUGGAGUAGUGCAUUUUGUUAGUAUUGCCUGCUACCUACUGCCAUCAUUUAAACUGCAGCAGCAAACGGCAGACCGUGGAUAUUCGUGAAUAAAUUACUUACCGUUGUUGCCGUAGUGCUACGACGACAGUGGUACACACCUACGAGCGUACGAACAUACCACGCUUGUAUGUUACUACACACAGAUGUAAAUAUAACACACAUGUUGUUAUGGUGUUGUGGUUUGAAUUAAAAAUCAGCAACUGAAGCGGCAUUUACUGUCUGAGUGCUCCAAAAAAAAUCGAAAAAAAAAAGAAACGAAACGAAUUGAAUCAAAACAAAAAAGAAGAAAGAAAAAAAAAUAAUAAAAUAAAAAUACAAAGAAAUUAAGUAUUGAAAAAAGUUGUUGAGUUCCAACAAAGAAGAAAUACAAAGUGAAAUAAAUACAUCAUCCUCGACUUAAGUAUUCAAUUUCAAAAAGAAGUUCUUUUUUCGAAAAAGCGAAAUAUUUUGAGUGAAACAGCGAAUAAAGAAUAGAGAGAAAAAAAACGCAAGCAGAGCACAUAAAAUACAGAUGAAUUAAAUUGAGUGGAUAAAUUUUAAUUGUGAUUUUUAAAAAGAUAACUUGCAGAUGUCACCACAUUGGUUUUUAUUACAUUGAGAAUAUUUUACAUUUAUUACAGACAUUUCCAGGCAUUUUAACAACAAGUCGAUGUAACGUUACGGGAUUUGAACAAUUACUCCCGCAGCAGUGUUCCAGACAAGUUCUUCAUAUCGGUUUGGUGUUUUUUUCUCUCCCUCUUCUUGGCGAAAAUAAUGUGUUUAAUUGAAUGUAAGUAAUAAAGUUUUAUAAUACA